AUCCAGCUGACGAGUCCCAAAUAGGACGAAACGCGCGUCCUAUAG
rnacentral:hammerhead_ribozyme from 1 species